GGUGAGAUGGCCGAGCGGUCUAAGGCGUGUGACUCAAGUUCUCAUAUCUCCGGAUGCGUGGGUUCAAAUCCCACUCUCACUA
rnacentral:tRNA from 1 species